rnacentral:rRNA from 1 species
UACAGAGGUCUCAAGCGUUGUUCGGAUUCAUUGGGCGUAAAGAGCGUGUAGGCGGCUAGAUAGGUCCGUUGUGAAAACUCGAGGCUCAACCUCGAGACGUCGAUGGAAACCAUCUGGCUAGAGUCCGGAAGAGGAGAGUGGAAUUCCUGGUGUAGCGGUGAAAUGCGCAGAUAUCGUAAGGAAGACCAGUGGCGAAGGCGGGUCGUCGUGGACAGUUCCUGACGCUGAGGCACGAAGGUCAGGGGAGCAAACGGG